UCCCGGUGAGGAAACAGUCACAUGUCUUACCUCCUCUCCUAGUCCCAGAGCCUGUAAAGGUGAACUAAGGCAGGCAC
ensembl:snoRNA SNORD22 Small nucleolar RNA SNORD22